rnacentral:rRNA from 1 species
GAUCCUGGCUCAGGAUGAACGCUAGCUACAGGCUUAACACAUGCAAGUCGAGGGGCAGCAUGUCGGUUGCUUGCAACCGACGAUGGCGACCGGCGCACGGGUGAGUAACGCGUAUCCAACCUACCCUUGUCCAUCGGAUAACCCGUCGAAAGGCGGCCUAACACGAUAUGCGGUUCUCAGCAGGCAUCUAACGAGAACGAAAUGUGAAGGAGAAGGAUGGGGGAUGCGUCUGAUUAGCUUGUUGGCGGGGUAACGGCCCACCGUACCGACGAUGCGUAGGGGUUCUGAGAGGAAGGCCCCCCACACUGGUACUGAGACACGGACCAGACUCCUACGGGAGGCAGCAGUGAGGAAGUAUUGGUCAAUGGGCGAGAGCCUGAACCAGCCAAGCCGCGUGAGGGAAGAAGGCGCUCAGCGUCGUAAACCUCUUUAGCCGGGGGACAAAACCUCCUCGCGAAGGAGGCUUGAGAGUACCCGGAGAAUAAGCAUCGGCUAACUCCGUG